UACGUAGGUGGCGAACGUUAUCCGGAAUUAUUGGGCGUAAAGGGUGCGUAGAUGGCCUGAUAAGUUAGCAGUGGGAAAUCGAGGCUCAACCUCGUGGAAGCUGGUAAUACUGUCAGGCUCGAGUGCAGGAGAGGUUAACGGAACUCCAUGUGGAGCGGUAAAAUGUGUAGAUAUAUGGAAGAACACCAAUAACGGCGAAGGCAGUUAACUAUUCUGUUACUGACAUUGAGGCACGAAAGCGUGGGGAGCAAAACGG
rnacentral:rRNA from 1 species